AUCUAACGAUAAUGCAAAUUAAUGAUUUGCUUUUGCUUCAGUUUCAUGAGUUUGUUAUGAAGAAAAACAAAAUUAACAUUUAAUUAAUUGAAUAAAAAUGUUGAUUCUUUGGAUUAUGAUGGACAUAAAGUAUCGAUGAUAAUCUGGGGAAGGUGCUGUGAGAGCGAGAGCCAGAGAAGUUCUUGAGCCUAUUUUCAGCAUAAAAAUCACCCAACUACGUGGCAACAUAACCACGUUUUCCUUUGGGAUUACACUUAGCAAUUAAAGGAAAAGUUCUAGAGCUUUAAGUUCAAGUACUUUUCCCCUUUUCUAGGAAUACCUUGUUGCGAAAUGUGCCAUCUAGGGAUCUAGGUAUUUUUCGGUGUAUUUGUAUUGACCAUUAUACCAGUUCUCAGAAUUUUCUAUGACCAUGUCUCUGUUAUUAAGAUCAGAUUUUGAACUGUAUUUAGGGACUCUAACGAUGCUCUAUAAAUAUGUAAGCUUAUUGACGUUUUUUGUUUAAUUCAGAAUUCAGUCUGCCAAACGCAGACGGUUGUAUAUCGCGAAUAGUCCUAAACGGCUAUACAGAUGAAUUAAAUUUUCGAACUACUUUGCUCACCCGAUUUUUAGUCGAUUACUUACUACCAACUAGUACAAGAAAACAUUUCAACCGUUCGUGUUAUGAGCACCGUUCAAUACCAAUAUCUAGCUAAUGGAAAAAACAAAAAUGUCCGUAAUUAUGGAACUGCAACACGCAAUUAUCCGUCAAGGAGUUUAUUCAUACAGGUUCUAGGUUUUCUUCAGAAAAUAAUCAACAGCUUCUCCAUUUCAAGAAUGCCGAGGAAAAGGGUUAAAAAAUUUGGUUUAAAACGGAUUCGAUGGGAACAGGAUGGAUAAAGACAAAAAUACGAAAAA